CGGCUCUCCACAUAAACAUCCAUAUCAGGCAAUCAUCAGCGUGAUGAAGAAUCCAUGCAGAUUUUGUAAUUUCAGAUGGGAAUAAAAGGUACAGUGUUUGCAGAUCAGAUGGGCAUCUCCACCAGGACCUUGCUAGCAGAAAGGCAGAAGAUCAACUUUAAAUUGCUGAAAGUUCUUGCAUGACAAUCACAAGGGAAAGGCACCAAGGAAUUUCCCCGCACUGCAAACUACCUACACCUGACUUCCGUGGAUGUACUCUCGCCAUGCAUGCCAACCCUCUCCGCUGCGGCGCUACCUAUGAUUCCUCUAUACUGUUAGGACCAGCUGGGAACAGCGCUAAAGUUCAUCUAAUCCAGGAUGGGCUACAGUACCGGCAUGGCAGGGUGCACUGGCAAAAUGGGCCAGGAACAGGAAAACAGAGUAAGUCAGUGCCGUAGUUGGUAAUGGGGUGCCGGCUUGCUGAUGGGUGGGCCCAGAGACUGGGUCGGUGUGGAUUGAACUCUUUUAUGUAUAACGAGAAUGACAAGCAGGCCCAGUAGUGGCUAAAUGAGAGUGGUGCAAGUGAAGCUGCUCCUCUUCUUUCUCGAGUAGCAAAAAGUGAUGGUUAUUCUCUCCAAUCCCUUAUCUCCUUUGUGUUCUCCCCCCUCCUUUUUUCUGUGUUGUUCUGGUCUUGCCAUGACGGCGAUCAUAUCUUAGGUGACGGUGACAUAACAUCGUUGCAGCAGCUUAUGCUGACUCCUGUGGGGCCAUGUAAUCUCUGCUAGAUUUUCCAUUUCUAAGGGCUUACAGGUUUGACGUUUGCCGUUGAUUUUUCUUAUAUCUCUGGCAUUGAUUUACUGGUUUCUCUAGCAAUCGCAGGUCAAUUCAUCCAGUGUCAAGAACAGAAGGGUGUGAUAACAUGCAGCAGCAAGAAUGGGUUGGUCAGAACAAUUAAGGGAUCUUUUUAUCUACACUGCUGUAUAGUUACUAAUCUUUCACCAAAGUAAAGAGGCAAGCCUCACGAUUGAUCAGAUUUAAUUGGAUUGAUCCAAUGGCUCAGAGUGAAGGGGUUCGCACCAUCUACUGUUCUUGAGUGAAAAUCAUGCAUAUUCAUCUGGAGCCAUCAUAGAUGGUUGGGAUUCAAACACGGACUCGUCUUUUUGACGGGUUUGAACGAGGAACGGGAUGAGAACAAGUACUAAUCAGGACACUGUUAGUGUCCAUCUUAAUCCAAUUCCGGGGCCCUAGUUCCUGAAAUUUUACGCGUAUCCAUUGUUGUUUCUUUUAUGUAUCAGAAUUGCUAAAAUGCAGGUGCCUUAUAUUUUGUGACGUUUCAAUCA